UACGUAGGGUGCGAGCGUUUGUCCGGAAUUAUUGGGCGUAAAGAGCUUGUAGGCGGUUUGUCGCGUCUGCCGUGAAAGCCCAGGGCUUAACCCUGGGUCUGCGGUGGGUACGGGCAGACUAGAGUGUGGUAGGGGAGACUGGAAUUCCUGGUGUAGCGGUGAAAUGCGCAGAUAUCAGGAAGAACACCCGUGGCGAAGGCGGCUCUCUGGGACGGUACUGACGCUGAGACGCGAAAGCGUGGGAGCGAACAGG
rnacentral:rRNA from 1 species